CACGUAGGGUGCGAGCGUUGUCCGGAAUUAUUGGGCGUAAAGAGCUCGUAGGCGGUUUGUCACGUCGGAUGUGAAAACCCGAGGCUUAACCUCGGGCCUGCAUUCGAUACGGGCUGACUAGAGUUCGGUAGGGGAGACUGGAAUUCCUGGUGUAGCGGUGAAAUGCGCAGAUAUCAGGAGGAACACCGGUGGCGAAGGCGGGUCUCUGGGCCGAUACUGACGCUGAGGAGCGAAAGCGUGGGGAGCGAACAGG
rnacentral:rRNA from 1 species